rnacentral:rRNA from 1 species
UACAGAGGGUGCAAGCGUUGUUCGGAAUUAUUGGGCGUAAAGCGCGUGUAGGCGGCUUUGCAAGUCGGGUGUGGAAGCCCUCAGCUUAACUGAGGAAGUGCGCCCGAAACUGCUUGGCUUGAGUACCGGAGAGGAUGGCGGAAUUCCCCAAGUAGAGGUGAAAUUCGUAGAUAUGGGGAGGAACACCGGUGGCGAAGGCGGCCAUCUGGACGGAUACUGACGCUGAGACGCGAAAGCGUGGGUAGCAAACAGG